rnacentral:lncRNA from 1 species
AGGCGCUGGCAGCUCGCGUCAUUGCCCGUCGCCGUGUCGGGGGGCUGCUCAGGCUCCCCGGAGCCCGCGGCCUCGAUGUCCUUCCCCCGGUGUGCCCUGCUGUGGGCUCGGCUCCCGGCGGGGCGCCAGGCUGGUCACCGCGCGGCCGUCUGCUCUGCGCAUCGCGCCCACUGCGGGCCCCCCCCUGCGGUUCUGGGGCGCGUUCCUGCCCUUGCCGCCUCGUCUGCCUCCGGUGGCUCCAAAGCCCCGAAUACGUCUUUGUUCGUGCCGCUGACUGUGAAACCUCAGGGCCCCAGCGCCGAUGGCGACGUCGGGGCCGAGCUCACGCGGCCUCUGGACAAGAGUGAGUGCGGGAGCCAGCGAAGGCCGCGGGCGAUGUCUGCCGGGCCCUGGCGGCCCCGGGGGGCAGCUGUCCCUCUUCCCCUUGGUGACCCGAGUCCCCUCGAGCGUUGUCGUUGUGCCUGACAGUUUCUGCCUCCCUCGCUGCGUUGAGAGUCCUUUGACUCUUGGGAUUGUGUCUGAUUCAUCCUUAACGGUCCGCCCAGAGUGACCUUUUUCCCUUUGACCUCUCUCGUCUCCGACUGGUUUAAAACCUCUUGUAUUGGGACGUCUUGGCUCCCUCAGUCCCCCGCCGGGUGUCCUUCUCUGUUCCUUCCCUGCCACAGAACUGUUGCCUUCGAAAUGGGGCAGUGGGAUGGGCAGUGAAAAGCCAGAGGCGGAGUUCUUUCAGGAUUCUUUGUCAUUGGGCGAGGUCGCAGUGUUGGGCUGCAUGGUGGGUGAAGGGAGGACCGAGACAGAUUCUGAUAAUCUGCUGUCAUACAAGAUACAGCUUGAUAAAGGGGUCCUCGCUAAAAGAGGGACCAUAGUCAUCCAGGAGCCAGAGAGAAAGUAAAAGUGCAGCAUCAGUGAGUGGCAGUAGGUUUUGUCACCAAAACUAAUUUUGGAUGGAUUUGACAGCGAGAUCUGUAAAUAUUUUCGAGGGGAGUUUAGCGUUAUAUAGCCGCACUUUGGCUUUUGGCUGAUGAAGAAGGUGAGAGGUUUCCUCUGACCAAGGAGAUCCAGGGGAUGCCACAACUCUGCCGGGCACUAGCUUUCCAGACUGUCUUCAGGGAGUUACUCCGACUAGCAACAGUACGUCCCCUAUUGUAAUUUGAGAAUACAAAUUUCAGCUUGAUGCGGUGCACACUGUAAUCCCAGGGACUCCGGAGGCUGAGGCAGGAAAAUCUCAAGUUCGAGACUAGCCUCAGCAACUUAGCCAGAUCCCCAGCAACUUAGUGAGAACGACUCAAAAUUUAUAAAAGGUGGGGAUGUAGAUCAGUGGUAAAGCACCCUGCGUUCAAUCCUCAGUACCAAAUAAAUAAAACUAAAAGUAAAAUAUGGAUUAUAGCAUGCUUUGGGUCAAAUCUUGUUUUUCAGAGCAGUAUAGUAUAUGAUGCACCUCAUGUCUAUGUUAUUUUUCUUUCUUUCUUUUCCUUUUUUUUUUUUUGAUACGGUGUUAUUAUGUUGCCCAGGAGGCCUCAAACUUUUGGGUUCAAGUGAUCCUCCUGCCUUGUUGGCUCAGUAGUCCUCUGGAGCUGGGACUUCAAGCAUAUACCACCAGGCCAGUGCUCAGCAAGGCCUUUCACUUUACUUGGAGUUGGGGUCUAUAUCGUUUUAACAACAAUUUUAAUAAUGUAAUUGUAUUAUUUCUGCUUAUUUUUAAAUUGUAAAAACAUAACAUUUAACAUCUUAAUAAUUCUUAUAUGUAUAGUUUAGUCAUGUUAAGUUCAUUCACAUGUGAAAAUGACCUCUAGGACAUUUUCAUCUUGUAAAAUUGAAACUCAGACAACAGUUAACCCAUUAAACAACAAUUUCCCAUUUACUGAAGGCAUACAGUAAUUUGUGUGAGGUAAUUUGGCUAACUUUUUUAUAUUCAAAUAUUGAUACAUUUCCAUCUCUUUUGCCUGCUUCUUAUCUGAUAAGUUGAUGUACUACUUCAAGGUUCUGUUCCACAUCAUUUUGCCAUACUUCAUACUUUUGCUAUUAAGUGUCUCAUUUUCUCCCUCUCCCCUAAAAUCAGUACUCCUCUCCCCUAAAAUCAGUACUCCCUUCUGACCAUUGUCUCCGACAUGGACCUCUCAUUCAUCCUCGAUUUAUAUAGCUGCCUACCAGGUGGCUCCAUUCAGAUUGCUUACUCCUUAUACUAGCAUGUUCAAGACCUGCUCCAGGUGCUAAGAUAAACAACUUGGUGGAUUUGAUUCUUCCCAUUCCUCACCUCCCAUAUUUAACAGAAGGUCCAGUUGACAAGUCUUGUUGAUUCUGUCUGAUAAAUAUUGAGUCAAUUUACUUCUUCUCCACUGCAGCCAACUUAAAUUUUUAGCUUCUAUCUUGGACUGGAUCAUUGAAAUAACUCCUUACAUGUCUCCUGGAAUACCUUUGAUCUCUCUAUUCUAUUUUCUUUUUUUGGUACUAGGAUUGAACCCAGGGGUCCUUAACCUCUGAGCCACAUCCCCAGCCCUUUUUUGUAUUUUGUUUAGAACAGGGUCUCACUGAGUUGCCUAGGGCCUCACUAAGUUGCUGAGGCUGGCUUUGAACUCUCGGUCCUCCUGCCUCAGUCUCCCACACUGCUGGGAUUAUAGGUGUGCACCACCAUGCCUGGCUUCUAGUCUAUUUUUCUUCUAGUCUAUUUUCUGCCUGCAAUCAGAAUGUUCUUUUAUGGUGGGGUUCUUUUUUUUUGUCUUUUUUAGAACUGGGGGUCGAACCCAGGGCUUUGCGAAUGCAAGGCAGACGCUUUGCCACUGAGCUACAUCCCAGCCCCAGAAUGUUCUUUUAAAAAGAUUGAACCUGUUGCUUUUCUGCUAAAAAAAUUGUAUUAUAUUUUUUCAUUGUCUGUAAUUUAAAAUAGUCCCCAAGUCUUAAUAUGGCUGGUAAGACCCUGUCUGACCUGGCCUCUCUCUCCCAGCUUCAUUGUCUCCCACUUUCCAUCCUUAAGCCAUAUGUAUGACAUGUGCCUCUGCUCCAGGUGUACGAAACAUACUACUGCUUCUGAUUGAGUACCCCUGUACUGCCUUCACUUCAGAGUUAAAAACAAAAAAACAAAAACUUUUUUUGUAGUUGUAGAUGGACAUCAUGUCUUUAUUUUAUUUGUUUAUUUUUAUUCUGUGCUAAGGAUUGAACCCAGUGCCUCACACAUGUUAGACAAGCACUCUGCCACUGAGCUCCAGUCCCAGUCAGAAUUUAACUUGAGAAAUAGUUGUUUAUAGUUACGGUGUAUGAUGUGAUAUUUUGAUAUGUUUGUGUCAUAGAAUGAUAAAAUCAAGCUAAUUAACAAAUUCUUCACACACUUUUUAAAAAGAAAAGCUAAAAGAUUUAUUUAGUGAAAUGGAAGUGACACCCUAAGAGGUAUGGAGCAGACCUCUUCCAGGAGAGGAAAUGGCCCACACUUAUUUUUUAUGUGUGGUGAUGACAUUUAAAAUCUACUCUUAGCAAUUUUGAAACAUAUAAUAACAUUUAUUAUAGUUUCCUGUCUGGAUAAUAGAUUGCUCAAACUUACUCCUUCUGUGUGUCUGAAAUUUUGUACCCUUUGGUCAAUGUCUUCACUUUCACCUUCAACCUACCCUGCCACUCCAUCUCUACUUCUCUGGCUUGGCUUUCUUAGGUUUCAUGUAUAAGUGAUGCAUUUAGUAUAAUGUCCUCCAGAUUCUUCCAUGUUGUCUCAAAUAACAAUUUCAUUUUUAGGGCUGAAUAAUGUUUGUCAUAUGUGUGUGUGUGUAUUUACACAUAUAUGUUUAUAUAACUACAUAAAGCUAUAUGACUAUAUACAACUAUAUAUGUGUAUAUAUAUACACACACACACACACACACACUUAUGUACAUAAAUAUAAAUAGUUGUAUAUAGUUAUGUACAAUGGGAUGUUUUUUGUUGUUUUGUUUGUUUUAUUGAGAGAGAGAGAGAGAAAGAAUUUUUUAAUAUUUAUUUUUUAGUUUUCGGUGGACACAACAUCUUUAUUUUAUUUUUAUGUGGUGCUGAGGAUUGAACCCAGCGCCCCGCGCAUGCCAGGUGAGCACGCUACCGCUUGAGCCACAUCCCCAGCCCCAAUGUGAUGUUUUGAUAUGUUUGUAUAUAUAAAUAUGUUCCACAUAUAAAAUAGGUAUAGGCACCUAGAUUGCUUCCAUAGCUUAACUGUUGCAAAUGGUACUUCAGUGAACAUGGAAGCACAAAUAUGUCUUUGCGUGCUGAUUUAAAUUCCUUUGGAUAUGUAUCUGGAUCAUAACAUAAUACUUCAUAUUAGUCUCAGAAAAUAGAUUUGCUCCAUCUGUAGUUUAUAGGUUAGCAGAAUUUUUUCAUGCAAUUUCAUAUGCUUUUUUCUAACCGUUUUUUUUUUUUUUUUUUUUUUGGGUCACUGAUUUUUUUUUUCCCCCCCACAAAGAAACUGUUGCCCCCACUAGAUACAAAGAAACAGAAGCCCAGAAAUACCAUGAUACUUGCCUGUGAUCCACUCCAGGGAAUGAGUGUGUACAUGUGUGUACAUGUAUCUGUGGAUCUUAUAUUUAGGUGUGGGCAAAUCUAGUGGCUAGACCAGCAAUUUUGAAAUUCUAUUAUAUAAAAUACAGUUCUGUUAGUAGGAUGCUGUGUUCAGGCUUAAUUUCAGUGAGUGUUGAGUAUGUCAUGACUGCAUGAAAAUCUGGUUGGUACUUUUCUGGGAGGUAAAAAUACAGGCCACUUGGCCUGUGUUUCAUGGGCAGGAAACCAUCCUCACUUUUGGCCUUUCUCAGAAAUGUGUAGUGUGUGAGUGGGUCAAUAAAAUGUUUAUCUCUACAGAAUGAUACGAUAGUAUUUUAACAUGUAUGACCUUAAUACAAUCUCAGUGUAAUAAAUUUAAAAUAUUUUCUCCUAUCAAAUUAUUGAUUUAGCCAGGCAUUGUGGUGUAUGCCUGUAGUCCCAGCUACUCUGCAAGCCAAGGCAGAAAGAUCACAGGGUCUCUUCUCUUAGUGAGACCCUGCCUCAGAAUGUAAAAAUAGGCCAGUGCACAGCAUGCUUGUAAUCCCAUUGACUUGAGAGAAUGAGACAGGAGAAUCAGUGCCAGCCUCAGCAACUUAGUGAAUCUCUGUCUCGAAAUAAAAAGGUCUAGGGCUGGGGAUGUGGCUCAAGUAGUAGCGAACUCACCUGGCAUGCGUGCGGCCCGGGUUCGAUCCUCAGCACCACAUACAAAGAUAUUGUGUUUGCUGAAAACUAAAAAAAUAAAUAUUAAAAUUCUCUUUCUCUCUCUCUCUCUUAAAAAAAAGUUUAAAAUACAUAAAUAAAUAAAAAGGUCUAAGGAUGUGACUGAGUGGUAAAUUGUCCCUGGGUUAAAUCCCCAGUACCAUUAAUUAAUUUUAAAAGGGCUGGGGAUGUGGCUUAAUUGUGGAGUGCCCUUGGGUUCAGGGUAAAUUAUUUAUUCAUAGUGGUAUGUCACCCAGACAGGUGUCUAAUUCAACCUCCCUGGUGUCACAGAAAUUUCUGUUACUUUUUUUUUUUUGCAGUACUGGGGAUGGAACCCAGAGCUACAAGGAACUUUCACUAUUGUGAGGCAACCCCUUUUUAAAAUUGUUCUAGGCCCCAGGCUCAGCUAAUUCAGGUGGAUGGGAUAUGGGCUUCCUCACUGAUCCUGCCUCCCCGACCCUGGGUAAUUUAGAGCCAGGUGGAAUGUCAGAUGGCAGAGAAGCAAUGCAAGGUGGAUAGUAUUAAGUCUGUGGGGCUCACUUCUGGUCUUUGCAGCAACAGUGAUCGCUGAGUGAAGAGUGCCUAGGAUAGUUACCCAAAAUGCUGAAUAUCAAAAUCUUCAGCGCCACCUCCCAUUGGGACUAAUCCCAGAAAAUUGCUGACCCCCUGGGCCUGGAGCUAGGCAAGGUGGUGACUAAGAAAUUCAGCAACCAGGGGGACCUGUGUGGAAAUUGGUGAAAGUAUAAGUGGAGAAGAUGUCUACGUUCAGAGUAUCAUGUUGAAAUCCUUGACAAUCUAGUGGAGCUUUUGAUCAUGGUUAAUGCCUGCAAGAUCACUUCAGUCAGCUCAGUUGCUGCAGUCAUCCCAUGUUUCCCUGAUGACUGGCACGAUAAGGAGGACAAGAAGCAGGCUCCACUCUCAGCCAAGCUUGUCGAAAAUAUGCUGUCUGUAGCUGGUGCAGGUCAUAUUAUCACCAUGGAUCUUCAUGCUUCUCAAAUUUAGGGCUUUUUAAAUAUCCCAGUGGACAAUUUGUAUGCAGAGCUGGGUAUCCUGAAUUGAAUUAGGGAGAAUAUCUGAGUGGAGGAACUGCCCUAUUGUGUCACCUGAUGCUGAUGGAGCCAAGAGUGUGACCUUGCAGACUGGUUGAAUGUGGACUUUGUCUAGAUUCACUAGCAACAGAAGGCCAGUGAUGUGGACUGCAUGGUGCUAGUCGGUGGGAAUGAAGACUCCAGUGGCUAUCCUUGUGGAUGACAUGACUGACACUUGUGGCACAGUUUGCCUUGUGGCUGACAAACUUCUCAGCUGGAGCCACCAGAGUUUGUCUUGACUCAUGGAAUCUUUUCUGGCCCAGUCAUUUCUCUCAUCACAGUGCAAGUUUUGAAGCAGUAGUGAUUACUCAUACCAUACCCCGGGAGGUCAAGGUGAAGCAUUGCUCCAAAUUACAGGUGAUUGACAUCUCUAUGAUUCUUGCAGAAGCCAUCAGGAGAGCUCUUAAUGGGGAAUUCUUUCCUACUGUUCAGCUUUGUCCCUUUAUAAUAGAAUAAGUUUUGAGACAUUUUUAUUUAUUUAUUUUGAGGCAUUUUUAAAAGUAAAAACAAACCCCGCUCCUUGUUUUUUUUCCUUGGCAUUUGAUGACAAAUUCGCAGAAGACCCAGCUUGUUCCGCUAUAGAUUUCUACAUCCCACAUCAUGUAAAUGGGGGUUUAUUAUAAAUUGGAGAAAGACAGAUGGAGAUCAACUGCUGGAAUUUCAUUUUCCUUAAAUGAUUUUGUGAACCUUGCAGCUUUAACUAGAGUUCAGCUGCUGCAAGAUUUCAUACUUCUGAGGGUGUUGAGUAAGCCAGUUUGAAUGGUUGGGGAUGCUGAGACUUUGCAUGUGAUUGCUCUUGGCGAUUUUCUUUGUCAGAACAGUUAGCAAUGAAGCAGCUAGUUCUCCAAGGUCUAUGCUAAAUUAAAAGCAAGGAUCCUGGGCAACCCCAAACCUGUUCUUUAUAGCUGAGCAAGCACCCUGUAAGGCAGGGGCAGGCAGCUCAGCCUGAAAAACUGUUUGGUGGGAUCCUGAGGGCGGGAGAAGGUAGCACAGUGCAGCAAAUGUUUCUUUGGAGAAAGAAGUCUGAUUCAUCAUCAUCCGCUUAACCAUGUAAUUUGGAUUCCCCUUUGUAUCUAUUCCUUUCUAUGGCUUUGCCUUUAGCCAUCUUGACCUUUUCCUGGCCAAAUAUCCUCUUGGGCCCAAACAAUUAUUGUACCAUAGUCUUCAGGAACACAAACCUGCUUCGUGCUAUAUAAUUGUUAACAUUCGUAUUAGAUAAUUUGCUUAACCUUCCUUAGCCUACCGUGGUCAUAGAUUUUAGGUGGUAUUAUAGUACCUUUUAAGUAUUUAAUUUUCAUUUUCCUUCCUGGAAUCUGUUUGGCUUUUCCAGGGACCUGACAUUCAGUCAAAAGAUUGAUGUUUUUGUCUCUUGUAGAGGAAAUUAAUAAAGUGUCUAUGUUUGUGAUUUUGGGUCUGAAAAAUUAUUCUAAUUAUUAGGAAGUUCUUAUGUAAAUUCCAUUGAAAUCAGCUUCCUUUACCUCCCACUGAGUUAACUUAUGCCAUCUAGAACAAAAUGAGAGGAAUGUGUUCUUCAUAAAAUCAUCAUCUUCAAACUAAAGAUCAUCCCAGUUCUUUAGUCUUUUGCAUAAAAGCAUGAUGAUCUGAUCCUUGCCAAAUUGGUUGUCUUUUCUGCAUUUAUUUUAUCUGUUUACUGUUUGUUGUUUUUGUUGUUAUACAUGGACACAAUAUCUUUAUUUUGUUUGUUUAUUUUUAUGUGGUGCUGAGGAUCAAACCCAGUACUUACAUGUUGGAGGCAAGUGCUCUACCACUGAGCUACAACCCCAGACCCCUGUUUACUAUUAAUAUGCAGAAUGGUUGUAAGUAAAUGAAACGGCAUGGUUAUCUAAAAAUGGCUUGAUAAAAAUUAGAACCUAGUUCUGAGCCCAUUACACCUUGCCCAUUUCCUCUGCAGUAUAACAGGAAUAUUGCCUGAUUUGACUAUUAUUUUUUUCUAGAUAUUUCAUUGCAUAUUAACCCAUAAAGAGGAUCAACUAAAAUCUUCAACUUCUUACGUAUCAUGAUUUCAAGUUUCUUCUGCCAUUUGGUCAUUUCUCUAAAAUAUGAAAUGAAUGUUGAAUUUUUAUGUCUUUCUUCUAGACGAAGUAAAGAAGAUCUUAGAUAAGUUUUAUAAGAGGAAAGAAAUUCAGAAACUGGGUGCUGAUUAUGGACUUGAUGGUAAGACAUAUAAUAUCUUUAUAGAGAUGUAGUAUUACUUUGUGUAGCUUUGUAUAGCUUUUUCAGUGUUCUAUGGGACCUCUUAUGCCCUGAAAGUAGGAGUACAGUUGUGGUCUGGAGACAAGCCUCUGACCAUUGCUUCUUCGAGGGCAGGAGGCUGGCAAGGCUCACCUGUUGAGCCAGACCACACAGCAUAGGAGCUGCCUGGGCACCUUUCCUUCCUGUUGUGCUAGUUUUUCAGCUUUAGCCUAGAUCAAAUUAAACCAGCUGAAUUAUCCACAUAGUAAAAAUAUAGAGAUACUUUGAAUUUGGUGUGGUGCAUUUUGUGCUUUUAAAAGGAGAACUGAAAUGAAAACUAAGCCUUACAUAUUUUGAUUUUGUUUUCUGCAGCUCGUCUCUUCCACCAAGCUUUCAUAAGCUUUAGAAAUUAUAUUAUGCAAUCUCAUUCCCUGGAUGUGGACAUUCACAUUGUUCUGAAUGACAUUUGCUUCAGUGCAGGCAAGUCUUGAGAGAAUUUUGAAAAUUCUCUUGAAUGUACUUUCUGUUUAUUCCAUACUUCAUGUUUAUUUCUCUAGCAUGGCUUAUUUGUUUUAGAAUAUGUCUUGGUAAUAUCCUUUGUAAAUAUUUCAAUGCUUGGAUAGGAAGUUUUGUAAUCACUUGGCUUUUAUAUUGGGUCCCUCAGCUAGUCAUGAGAAUGUCUUAGACUGGGACCUUGAUCUGUCAUCUUCUUUCUGCUGUGUAUUAACAUGGGCCACAAUGGAAUGAGCUCUCACACAAGAUAGGAUUAGUUCAUAGCAUAUUCUACCUGUUUCUGCCACUGGCUUAUUUCUCCAUCAUGUCAGGAUAAAGUUCUUGCUAUAAAAGAAAAAACAAAAAGUAAGAACAUCAUUUUAUUCCAUAUAUGGAAUUAUAUAAAUACUCACAUAUUAUUAUUAUUUGGUGGUGCUUUGUAUUAAACUCAGGGCUUUGUGCAUGCCGGGCAAGGGCUCUACCACUGAGAUACAUCUCCAGCCCUUUUCAUUUUAUUGUGAGGUAGAGUCUCACCAAGUUGCUCUGGCUGACCUUGAAUUUGCAAUCCUUUUGCCUCAGCCUCCCAACUAUCUGGGCUUAUAGGCAUGUGCCACCAUAUCUGGCUAGUUUUACACACACACACACACACACACACACACGUAUAAAAUAAAAUGGAUAAUAUUCCAUUGGGAUCCAUCUAUCUAUCUAUAUAAUAUUUAUAUAGUUUUAUAUAUUUAUCUUUUUGUACCAGGGAUUGAACUACCCAGGGACACUCAACCACUGAGCUACAUUCCCCCACCCCUUCUUUGUUUUGAGACAGGGCCUUGCUAAGUUGCUGAGACUGGCUUUGAAUUUGCUAAGACUGGCUUUGAAUUUGAGAUCCUCCUGCCUCAGCCUCCUGAGCUGCUGAGAUUAUAGGCUGGCAAUACCAUUCUUUAUUCUUGUUAAAUUAAGAAAAAAGAACAGUGCUAAUCUUUGCCAGUUGUACUGGGAUAGUAGAAUGUAGUUGUUGGCAGCUACUUUUCUUUUUUUUUUCCUAAAAAUAUAAGUGGAAUUUGGAUGAAAAAAUAAGAAAAAGAAAGUUCUAGAAAAGGAUGGGGUCUCCUCUUUUAGGAUUCUCUUAUCUUGGCCAUGCUCCCCUAAUUUACCUCAAUAAGAAAAAAGAUUUUGCUUCUUUUGGUUGUAGAUAGCAAGUAGAUUGCCCAUUUUUUAAAAAAACUUUUUUUCUUAGUUAUAGGUGGACACAAUAUCUUUAUAUUUACGUGGUGCUAAGUAUCAAACCCAGUGCCUCACGCAUGCUAGGAGAGCCCUCUACCUCUGAGCCACACCCCAGCCCCAGAUUGCCCAUGUUAAUCUGUGUUUUAUUUUCUAGCUCAUGUGGAUGAUUUAUUUCCAUUUUUCUUGAGACAUGCCAAACAAAUAUUUCCUGUGUUGGAAUGUAAGGAUGAUCUACGUAAGAUCAGUGACUUGAGAUUACCACCGAACUGGUUAGUCCUUCAUUUGAAAUUUUCUGUUUCUAAUUUGGGAAGACUAUUAUUAUGUGUUUUUGUAACAUAUGCUAGGUGGCAAAUUAUAAGGAGUCUGAACAGUACUGUUCAUUCUGUUAGGCUGUUUCCCCUUGAUCCUGUUCAAGCGUGGGCUUGUAUUUUCCUAGGGCAGAACUGAAGCAGCUUGAGUAGGGUGUUAGCCUUGCAUCUGAGCUGUGGCCUUCCUGGAGUCAGCUGAAUGCCAGGGUGUUAAUACUGAAUUUUCUCCCCUGUGGGUGGAACAGCAGCAUCUUCUAGCACUUCAAGACCUCUCAGAAGCUUUCUGCUCAGACCCUUGCUAAGCUUGAAGGCCCUGCCAAUUCUUACCUUCAGCCAGGCUGUGGCCAAGGACCCACAUGAAACCAUUGCAGAAACUUCAGGGCUCCCUACUUCCUUCACCCUUUCUGCUCUUCCACAUUCUGCCCUUCAGAUUCUAGGUGCUUCCGCAGCUCUGCAUUGACUUCUAUGCUCUGUUCUGUGGGACUUUCUUACUCUGCUCGGGGUCCACCUCCCUGUGCCCUGCUUCGAUCAUCUCCAGUGUCCCCCCCUUUCAGGGGUUGCACCUGUUCCACACGUUUGUAAAUAGUUGCUGCAUAUAUUUUGCCCAGUUUUGUAUUUGCUUAUAGAGACAGCACAAGUCCACUCACUACCAGGCAGCCAUCAGGACCAGAAGCAGGAGGCUCAGUUAUUAUAAUAGUUUAUAUUGAAUUCAGAGACCUGGGAAUGUUUGCUUUUAGGUUCACAUAUUUAGAGCUGUGGGAAUGAUGUGAACAUAUCUGUGGAGCAGAUAGCAAUUUAAAUUUAGUAACUCUGGAAGAAAAGAGGUUUAUGCAGUGGGGAAAAUACCCAAGACAUUAAUUUGUAUUGGGGGUUUUUUGUCCUCCGUUUAGUUAACACUGUUCUUGGAAAUCGGUAAUUAUUUGAAUGUGCAUAUGAAACCAAUUACUUAAUUUUUCAAAAUAUCUGUGAAUGUUAGGAGGAUGUUUUUGUGGGGUGUUAUCUAUUUAUUUAUUUAAAUUAAAAUUUUUUUUUUUUCAGUUGGUAUCUUUGCUAGGGUGGAUUUUGGGGUUAAUAAAAUUAAACUGUUUACCCAUUCAUGUUUUAGGUACUCAGAAGCCAGAGCCAUACGGCGGAAGAUAAUAUUCCAUUCGGGCCCCACAAACAGUGGAAAAACUUACCAUGCAAUUCAGAAAUACUUGUCAGCAAAAUCUGGAGUAUAUUGUGGCCCCUUGAAAUUACUGGCACAUGAGAUCUUUGAAAAGAGUAAUGCUGCUGUCAGUAUAUCACCAAAUAUUUGCUCUUUUUUUCUUGUUCCAUUUUCUUUUGGGGUUGAAGUUGGACAAGGGGAAAAGAAAGAUGUAGUAGUUUACUAGUAACAAAUUAUACCUUAUUUCUUUGCAUCUAGGAAACUAUUGAUUGUAAGAGGUGCCAUUAUUAUAUGUGUAAUUAAGAAAGAAAAGAUGCUCAGUGUGGCAGUAUAUACCUGUAAUCCCAGUAGCUCAAGAGGCUGAGGCAGGAGGAUCUCACAUUUGAGGCUAGCCUCAACAACUGAGUGAGGCCCUAAGCAACUUAAAGAGACUCUGUCUCAGAAUAAAACAUAAACGGGCUGGGAUGUGGCUCAGUGGUUAAGUACCUCUGAGUUCAAUCUGUGGUACCAAAAAAGAAGAAAACAAAAGAAAGGAGAAGAUGCUGCUAAUUGAGCUCUGGCAUGCUCUCAGUGCUUAAUAUGCAUCCUGAUAUUAGAGAUAGUAAAAUGUAGAAAAGUGAACACUUUAGAAGGAAUGAAUAAAACAUUGUAGAAUAUUUUAUGCCUAGAGAGAAAUGCAGAGUGGCAUAUAAAUAACCUUGAAUUCAAGCUGUCAGAUCCCAGCUUGCUUCAUCUAUUUAUUUAUUUAUUUGGUACUGAGGAUUAAACCUAGGGAAACUUAAUCACUGAGCAUAUCCCUAGUCCUUUUUAUUUUUUAUUUUGAUACAGGAUCUCACUAAGUAGCUUAGGGCCUUACUAAGUAUUGCUGAGGCUGGCCUCAAACUUUCAAUUCUCCUGCCUCAGCCUCCUGAGUCACUGCAAUUAUAGGUUUGCACCGCCACAACUGGCUGAAACUACUUGUUCAAAACUGAAAGGACUAAACCCUGUAAUCACUGAGACAUCAUUUCACUAAAUGGGUCACAUUUUGACUCAUUAUUUUAUUAAAACUUUACAAUGAGAGAUUAACCAGUUUUGGUUAGGUAAUUUGUAUUUUUUUUUAAUGAUUUGGGUACAUAAUUCUUCUAUCCAUAAAUAUUUGAAAACGUAUUUACUCAGAACAAAAACUUUUUUUUAAUAUAACCACAGGAUAUUUAUCUGAAGCAGGAUAAAUCAUUUAAUAUGAUAGAAUACUAUUAUUUAAUAUACAGUCCAUAUUCAGAAUCUGUCAGUUGUCCAGUAGCACCCUGUCACUCCCAUCCAGGACUCCAUUUGAGGUUUCCCACUAUUCUAAAUUGUCUCUAGUUUCCAUUAAUCAGGGAUAAUUCCUUUGUCUUCCUUUGUUUUUAUAACUUUUGUACUUUUAGAAGACGACGGGUCAGUUUUGUUGCAAACUGUUGCUUAGUUUGUAUCUGUCUGAUAUUCUCUUAUAAUUAGACUCAGAUCACUUAGGGGUGGUGACCAACCCUCCAGGUUUGACUGAACUUUACUCAAAGUCCUUUGUUCUGGGGAACCCCUCAGUAGAGGGCAAGCCAGUUGUUUGAGCACUCUCUUAUACCACAGCAUUGGUAUUUCCUUCUCAAGGAAGUAUAUUAGGAGGUCGUUACAGUCUUAAAUUUUAUUUUUAGUAUUCUUUAUAAUUUUUUUAUUUUUAGGAAAAAAAAUAUAUAUAUUUUGUUGUUGUUACAGGGAUUGAACCCAGGGGCACCUAACCACUGAGCCACAUCCCUAGCCAGUUUUUUGGUACCUGGGAUUGAACUCAAAGGGCAGUGAUCUACUGAGCCACAUCCCCAGCCCUAUUUUAUUUUAUUUAGAGACAGGAUCUCACUGAGUUGCUUAGCAUCUUGAUGUUGCUGAGGCUGCCUUUGAACUUGUGAUCCUCUUGCCUCAGCCUCCCUAUCACUGGGAUUACAGGUGUGCGCCACUGUGCCUGGCUUCCUAGCCUUUUUUUAUUUUUAAUUUUGAGACAGGAUUUUGCUAAGUUACUUAGGGCCUUGCUAAGUUGUUGAAGCUGGCUUUUAAUUCAUGAUUCUCCUGCCUCAGCCUACCCAGUCACUGGGAUUACAGGCAUGUGCCACCACACCCAGCUAAUUUUUAGUAUUCUUUUUUUUUUUUUUUUCAAUUUUUUAAUAUUUAUUUAUUUAUUUAUUUUUAGUUAUUGGCGGACACAACAUCUUUGUUUGUAUGUGGUGCUGAGGAUCGAACCCGGGCUGCACGCAUGCCAGGCGAGUGUGCUACCGCUUGAGCCACAUCCCCAGCCCCCAUUUAGUAUUCUUGAGUAUAGAAACAAUCAUGUUCAUUUUAACAACUCCGAUAGUACAGAAACAAAGUUAAAAAGUUAAACUGUGGGCUGGGUUUGUGGCUCAGUGAUAGAGUGCUUGCCUGGCAUGAGUUUGAUUCUCAGCAUCUCAUAUAAAUAAAUAAAUAGAGUAAAGGUCCAUCAACAACUGUAUAUAUAUAUAUAUAUAUAUAAAUUUUUUAAAAAUGAAUGUGCUUUAGUUUCUCAUGUUCUUAUUAAGGAUUUAACUGGUUGGAGAUAUUUCCAGUUUUACCUAAGUUAUAUAAGAAAGUAGCUCUUAUUUCAUUUUCUAUAAAAAAGAAAAGAAAAAGGCAUUGGGAAUACUUCUAUUUCAGCUGUUAAAUAAAUUCCUUGGUAAUGAAGAGAAUAGACACACAAAACUACUUUUUGCUGUUGUUUUCAAGGUAGAAAUACGACUGGGUUUCUUUCUGUCAUUUCAGGGUGUGCCAUGUGACUUGGUGACAGGUGAAGAGCGUGUGACAGUUGAAGCAGAUGGGAAACAGGCUGCCCAUGUUGCUUGUACUGUUGAGAUGUGCAGUGUCACCACACCAUGUAUGUAAACACCAUUGAAAAACUAUGACUUGGUAUUUUUUAUUUUAAAAUAUGGUUGUACUUGUGAAAUAUGAUUUUUUUAAUUAAAAAAAUUUCUGUAGUUGAAGAUGGAGAGAAUGCCUUUAUUUGUUUAUUUUUAUGUGGUACUAAGGAUCGAACCCAGUGCCUCACACAUGCUAGGCAAGCACUCUGCCACUGAGCUGCAGCCACAGCCCUUAAAUAUGAUUCUUGUUGUGAAAAAACAUUCUAUAUCUGGAAAAAGAAUAGUACAACAAAUGCUACCUGCCACUAGUAAUAAGUACCAAAUAUUGUCAUGCUUACUUAUAGAAGUUAGUUCCCUUUUUUCUUUUAUGUAUGUUUGGGUGUUUUUGCAUUUUAUUUUAUUUGGUAUUAGGGAUUGAACUCAGGGGCACUUUACUGCUGUGCUAUCCCCAAUGCUUUUUAUUUUGAGACAUAUCUUGCUAAGCUGCUGAGGUUGCCUUGGACUUAGGAUCCUCUUGCCUCAGCCUCCUGAGUAGCUGGGAUUACAGGCAUGAGCCAUCAAACCUAGUCCCACCUUUUUUUUUUGCGGAGUGUAACCUUUGAUUGAACUCAGGGACACUUAACCAUUAAGCCAACAUCCCCAUCCCUUUUUCAUAUUUUAUUUAGAGACAGCGUCUUGCUGAGUUGCUUAGGGCCUUGCUAAAUUGUUGAGGCUGGCCUGGAAUGUGAGAUCCUUCUGCCUCAAGUCCCAGGCUGCUGGGAUUACAGGUGUGCACCAUUGAACCCAGCAAUGUGGUGUGUUUUUUUGUUGUUGUUGUUUUUGUUUUAGUUGUCAGAUGGGCACAGUAAGUUUUUUUAAUGUGGUGCUGAGGAUUGAACCCACUGCCUCACAUGUGCUAGGCAAGUGCUCUGCCACUGAGCCACAACCUCAGCCCAUGGUGGUUCUUUUUAGGCAGAUUCUCAAGGCAGUCUCUGAGGCUGGUGAAAAUAAGGUAAAUGGAACUGCUUACUACAGAGAAUGGUGUCUUCCAGUGGUUAAGAGUAUGAUCUUCAGAGCGAGAUGACCUAAGUUUGGAUUUCACUUACUGUCUAACUUUGGGCAAGUACUUAACUUCUCUGGGCCUCAGUUUACUCUUUUGUCAAAUGGAGAUAAUGGAAGUACUUAACUUCCUAGAGUUGUUUUGAGAAUUAAAUGAAAUACAAUUAUAAAAUUCUUGGUACAAGCCAGCCCAAGAGACCCAUAAUGAAGGAUGAUGGUGAUGGUGGUAGUGAUGAAAGCUUGAAUUUUGAUGUUGGAUUUGUUUAUAAUACUAUUUAAGUAGAUUGUAUUGCUCAUGAUAACUUUUUCAUUUUAAGAUGAAGUGGCUGUAAUUGAUGAAAUUCAGAUGAUUCGAGAUCCAGCCAGAGGAUGGGCCUGGACCAGAGCACUUCUAGGUUGGUGGUCUUAGUGCAUCAAGCCUGGGCUUUAUGACAUCUGCACUAUUUGUAUAUCUGCUUGUCAUUGCCAAGUAGUCUGUUAGAUCCCCUUUUUCUGACAAAAGUCUUCUAUAAAAGUCAGUGAAGUGUGAGUUUUUGAAUUUUGAAAUACUAUUUCAAUAAUGGGAAAUCUACUUUUACUAUUACAAAAUAGGUAUAGCUCUGUAAUUAAAGUCAAAAUGUUUAAGUCUCUUGGCUGGGGAUGUAGCUCAGUGGAGGAGCGCUUGCCUAGUAUGCACAGAGCCCUGGGUUCAAUUUGCAGUACCCCAAGGCAAAAAAAAGAAAGUUCAAGUCUUACCACAUUUACACAAUCACUAUUAAUAUUUUGUGCCAUUUCUUUUUCUUAUGUGUGUGGUAUUUUCAGAAUAUUUAAUUUUGUAUCUUUCUCUUUUUCAGUUCUGUUAUUUCAUGGCCAUUUUUUCAUAUUGUUAAUAUAACUGCAUCUCCUCCAUUGAAGAGCUGUACCAGAAUUUGUUCUUUAAAGUUGAACUUUUUUUUUGGUACCAGGGAUUGAAUCUAAAGGCAUUUUAACCACUGAGUCACAUCCCCAGGCCAUUUUAUUUUUUGAGACAGGGUUUUGCUAAGUUAUUUAUGGACUUCGUAAGUUGCUGAGCAUGGCUUUGAAUUUGUAACCCCCUGUUUUAGCUUCCAGUCACUGGGAUUACUGAUGUACAUCACAAGAUGGCAGAGUUGGAACAUUUUUUCCUAUUAUUGAUGAUGCUGAAGUAAAAAUCUUGUGGCCGUGGCUUUUUAUUUUUUAUUUAUUCAUUUAGGGUAGGGUCCUGGUAAUAUGGAAUUCUUGAUGUCCGAUGUGAAUGAUUAUUCUGCUACUUGCUUUUGGAGUAAAUUUUUGAUCAGCAUGUUGUAGGGCAGGUAUUUUCAAAUUUAAAAACAAAUAACUGAACUCUUUCUGUAAAUAAUACUGAUGCAUUAGGCCUAUAAUAAAACAGGUGGAAAUGGAUCUGGCCAGGGGUAAGCAACUUGGACUUUCUUUUGCCCUCCAGCUCCUAACCUCUGUGAUUCCAUGGAGCCUAAUUUGAAAAACACAAGUGUAGGACUAAUGUUGAGCCCUAAGCAUCAGGAUGCCACGUUCCAGUCCUGGCUGACUUCACCCUGAUAGACUUGAAACCUUGGUCAGAGCAGCUUUAGAACUUUGAGAUUUAGAAAAACAGGGAUGAUCUUAGCCCAUUAGAAGGCAGUGGUGGUUUGACAUUUGCAUCAAAGAGACAUUGCUGAAAACAUUUGAUAGACUUGUAAAAUAAUAGGUAGCUAAUAAAGGUAAAGUAUUUUUGUUUUGCGAAUGUUAUAUACUUAAUUAUAAGUCUUUUUUAAAAAAUCCCAAUUGUGCAUUUACAGGACUGUGUGCUGAAGAAAUCCAUUUAUGUGGAGAAUCUGCUGCUAUCGAUCUGGUCACUGAGCUUAUGUAUACAACUGGGGAGGAAGUGGAGGUACUACAUUAUAUAUUUCAUUUUCAAGUGGCAAAGCAAAUAGCUAAGAGUAACUAUACAGUGGCUUUAGACCCUAGGCAGUGGCAAAAUUAGAACCUAACUAAAAAGAAAACUUCAUUUUUUUUUUUUUUUUAAUAGUUGACUAGCUCAUAUAUUUGGUUGAACCUCAUGAUGUGAAGUGUGAAGUUCUGACAGAGUAGCAAUUGCAUCCUGAGUCUUCCAAGAAUAAGAGGCAUUCUUUUUUUUCCCCCCCAAUGCUGGAGAUCAAACCCAAGGCCUGGGUGAUUCUUCAUCUUCACAAAAUUCUUUGGGAUUUGAGCAUAUCAGUUUAGAAUAAGUAAAUUAGGACUUUUGUAUCCCUUUUGCAAAUUCCUAGAGUAGGAAGUAAUUGGUUCCUUCUAACUCCUACUUUUCUUUUUCUUUACCUGAGUUUUAUAAUAAGAUGAAGAAAUAUUUUUAAUUGGCCAUUGUUUUAGUUUUAUGCUCAAUUUCAGGGAGACAUUCUGGAAAGUAGUGGAAGAAAUUCUGGAUUCCAUUCUGAGUGUUGCUUUUUUUACCUUUGCAUUUGGAGGCAGAUCAUAGUUAGAAUUGGAAAAAGCUCUGACUCAGUCUUUUAUUGGGCUCUAUUUUACUCGUUCAUGAAAUGGAAAUAACAAUUAAUUCUUCUGAAGUUGCCAUGUUUCCAUGAAAAUCAAUAUAUGUGAAAAUGCUUUGAAAAUGUAUGGAACACUGUAUGAUAUUCUAUUAGUCUAGAAAUGCCAAUGAGAGCUGAUGGUAACACUUAUAAUGUUGAAGUGAAUCCUUUCCUUUUUCCCUUGAAAAACGUUGGUACUUAUCAGUUUUUAGCUACUGUUGAUUGCUUGGCAAGUUUUUAAUUUAUUAGAGGAAGUUGUGUUGGAUAUGUUAUUUUACCACUAUAUGUCUUUAUUGUAGGUUCGAAACUAUAAGAGGCUUACCCCCAUUUCUGUGCUGGAUCAUGCAUUGGAAUCUUUAGACAACCUUCGGCCUGGGGACUGUGUUGUCUGUUUUAGCAAGAAUGAUAUUUAUUCUGUGAGUCGGCAGAUUGAAAUUCGAGGAUUGGAAUCAGCUGUUAUAUAUGGCAGUCUCCCACCUGGUAAUUAUUGGCUUUUGUUGUGAUAAGAUAUGAAAUUUUUAAUUUUUGCCAAAUAUGUUAAAAUAUGUAUAGAAAACAUAGUAAAAAAAUUGAAGUAAGCCAUUUGGUUUAUUGGUAAUUUUUUAUAGAUCGUAUGGAAUAAAUAUUUUUUCUAGUUAACCUUGUGGGAAGUAGGAGUAUUUUAAUUACUUAUAGCUCUUAUAAUUUGCUGCUGUUAUCAUAGACUAUAUUUUAAAUGGUGAGUUUAUGAUUUUUUUACAAAAUGUCUUAAAAUAUGGACCCAGUAAUUCCCUUCAAAUUAUUGUCCUGAAAUCUAAUAAGAAUCCUCAGAAUAAGAUUAGUAUGCUGGGGAAGUGCAUUGCUGCAUGAGGGGCAACUUAAAGGAAUGGAGGUAAAGGAUAGUGACUCUUUGAGGUUAUAAAGAAAGAAAUUUUGAAAUGAUAAAAAUUUUAUUCAUAAAAAUAGAGCAGGGGCAAGAGUUUCUAAGCAUGCUUAGCAUGAUGUAGUAAGGCUGGACAGUGCUGAUCUAACUGUUCUAUUGCAGGAACCAAACUUGCUCAAGCAAAAAAGUUUAAUGAUCCCAGUGAUCCGUGCAAAAUCCUGGUCGCUACAGAUGCAAUUGGCAUGGGACUUAAUUUGUAAGUAAUUUGUUUUUAAUAAGCAUCGAUAUUCAGUGGAUUAGAUGGCAGUGUUUGUUUUUGUUUUCAAUUAAAAGAAAUUUUUUUGUAGUUGUAGAUGGACAGAAUGCCUUUAUUUGUUUAUUUUUAUGUGGUGCUAAGAAUUGAACCCAGUGCCUUACACAUGGUGGGCAAGCUCUGUGCCACUGAGCUACAGCCCCAGCCCCUGUUUUCAAUUUUUGAAUUGGGAUGAAUGACCAAACACUUCACUUUAGAAGAAUGGCCAUUACAGUAUAGAUUUGAGUUUUAUCUUGCUUAUAUAUAUUGAAGGAAUAAAAAGAAAAUAUUAUAUAGUACUAGGACUUUGGUGUGCUGCCCCCUACUCUGCUAACCUGUCAUUACCUCACUUUAUUUUCAGUUUCUUGGCUAGCAGGUAUCCAAGUGCCUAUUCUGAAUAUGGGGCUGGCCAUUCUCUCUAGUGAUAACAAUGUUAAGCCACAAUAUUCCACCGUAGGUAAUGAAGGCACCUAUAUACCUUUAAGAAUACAAGAAGUAUUAAUAGUUCUUAAUAGUAGCUCUUUUUUUUUUUUUUGAGAUGGGAUCUCACUGUGUUGCCCAGACUGGCCUUAAACUCUUCUUGGACUUUAGCAAUCCUCUUGUCCCAGCCUCCUGAGUAGCUGAGACUACAGGCACAUACCACUACACCUGGUAUAGCUAACUUUUUAAAGCAGUAUGAGAACACCGUGGGUUAUUUAUAAGAAAGUCAUUCUCUGGGCUGGGGUUGUGGCUCGGAGGUAGAGCACUUGCCUAGCAUGUGUGAAGCACUGGGUUCGAUCCUCAGCACCACAUAAAAUAAAAAAUAAAGAUAUUGUGCCCACCUGUAACUAAAAAAUAAAUAUUUAAAAAAAAAGAAAGUCAUUUUCUGUAGUUUUAUCAAGGUAUAUUUUAUAGACCAUACAGUUCACCUAUUGUAAGUGUACAGUUUGAUGAUUUUUAGUUGGAACAUACUAAUUGAAAAAAGAAUGGUAAUUCUUUUUAAUUGAAUAAUAAUGCAGUUACUAUUGAAAAAAAGAAAGGAAGAAGCCAGGCACCUUGGCGUACACCUUUAAUCCCAGCAGCUCCGGAAGUUGAGACAGGAAGAUUGCGAAUUUAAAGCCAGCCUCAGGAACGGUGAGGCACUAAGCAACUCAGUGAGACCCUGUCUCUAAAUAAAAUACAAAAUAAGGCUGGGGAUGCGGCUCAGUGGUUGAGUGUCCCUGAGUUUUCAAUCCCCGGUACCCCCAUCUCCCAAAGAAAGGAAGAAAAAGAAUUACCAACAAACUUUUUUUAAAAAAUAUUUUUCGUUAUAAAUGGAGAUGAUACCUGAUUUUGUUUAUUAUUAUGUGGUGCUAGGGACUGAACCCAGUGCCUCACACAUGCUAGGCAGUUGCUCUACUACUGACUGAGCUACAACCCCAACCCCAUCAACAAACUUGUUUUCCUUGUUUAUUUAUUUUUAUUAAUAAAAAUUUCAUUUUGUAUGUGGUACUGGUGAUUGAACCCAGGGCUGCUCUACCACCAACCUACAUCCCCAGUCCUUUUUAUUUUUCAUUUGGAGACUGGCCUCAAACUUGUGACCCUCCCGCCUCAGUCUCCUGAGUAGCUGGGAUUACUGGUGUGCUCCAUCACAUCUGUCUUCAUUUUUUAAAUGGCAGCAAAAUGGCAAAUAGGCCUUAAUUAGAAUCAAGUAACAGAGGCUUGUUUAUGCAUUCUGUGGGAUCACUUUCAUUUCUAUUUCAGGAGCAUAAGGAGAAUCAUUUUUUACUCUCUUAUAAAGCCCAGUAUCAAUGAGAAGGGAGAGAAAGAAAUAGAACCAAUCACCACCUCCCAAGCCUUGCAGAUUGCCGGCAGAGCUGGUAGAUUCAGCUCACAGUACAAAGAAGGAGAGGUUACAACGAUGAAUCGCGAGGACCUCGGUUUAUUAAAGGAAAUUUUGAAUAGGCCAGUGGAUCCCAUAAGGGUAAGGUAUAAUACAUGAAUUACUGCUUCUGUGGGGAGUUCAGUCAUAUCUUCCCUCUCCCACAUCCAUACUCCUUCCUGGAAGCAGAAAUAAGCAAAAGAAAAUUUUGUGCCUUUGAAACCUCAUCAAGAAAGCUCCCUUGGGGCUGGGGUUGUAGCUCAAUGGUAGAGUGCUCGCCUUUCGUGGGGAAGGCACUGGGUUCGAUCCAUAGCACCACGUAAAAAUAAAUAAAAUAAAGGUAUUGUCCAUCUACAACUAAAAAAAAAAAAAAAAAGAAAGAAAGCCCUCCUUUAUUGUUUUGAAGAGACAUAGAGACCCCUUGUUCAGAGAAUGGUAUGCAAGUGAAAGAUACAGAUUGAACAAAUUUAGUUGACCUGAUUUUCCUUUAGUUCUUCCUAGAAAUAUAGCAGCAGGUGGGGGGGAGAGGGGCAAAGUUGCUUCAGGUGACAUUAUCUAUGUCAAUGAACUGAAAAAUCACCAGAAGUUUGAUUCUAGAAGUAUGGAUCAGUAACAGCUCUGAGCAUCACAAAUUCAAGCCAGAAAAGACAGUGUUAAAUUUUGGUCAAUGUAGUUAUUGAAUCAGAAGUGUACACAUUUUAAACAAAUUAAUUUUUAAAAAUUAGUUUAAAGUUGCCUGGAAAAAUUCACUUACAUGUGGCUCAUUUAAUUUGUCAGUAACACUAGAUAAAGGGAACAUAUGUGAGAUAAUGCAAGACAAAAAUUCCUGGAGGAAAGCAGUGGUUGAAACCACUUCUAUAGUUUUUGCAGUGGAGUGUGGUUAGGUUCAUAGGGGCUCCCACUGCAGCUGAAGUUUGACACACCCUCAUUUCCCUCUGGGUUACCUUAUUUCUUAUAUUCAGACUCUUCUUCCCUCCCUCAGGACCCAUCUGUCUUCCUUCCUUUCUAUUUUCUUUCUGUCUUUGCUUUCUUUAUCCCUUAUAGUUACCUUGGGCAUUUCUUAAUGCUGCAAUAUAUUGUUAAAGAAAUAACUGGCCUCCUGUUUAGAAACUUUCUCUCAGUAUGUGUGUGUAUCAUUUUUAUUGCCCUGGUUAAAUCAACUGGGUUUUUCUCUUUUACUUUUCUUUAGUGGAGAGAAUUGAGACCUGGAAAAUUUUUAUCCAGUAAAGCAUUUUGGUACUCCAUCAGCUCAUAAUAGGUUUUAGGAAAAUGACUAAAAUAAAAGCACAAGACUGUUUCUUUAAUGAGAAUUAUCUGUUAUUUUUAUUAAAUUAUCUCAUCAACUUUUCUAAUUGGUAAUAAGUAGUAAAAUGAUGAUUUUUUUGUUUUCUGUUUUACUCAAAUUCUUGUCAUUUAACUCCUUUGGUGAGAGAUAAGCCUAAAUGUAGGACUUUAAUUUGAAAUAAUUUAAGCAAAUUUAUCCUUUCAAAAAAACCCAAAACAAUCAGCUCACGUUUAUUUUAUUUUUUACUUUUCCUAAAGGCAGCAGGUCUUCAUCCAACUGCUGAACAGAUUGAAAUGUUUGCUUACCACCUCCCUGAUACAACACUUUCCAAUCUCAUCGUAAGUAGAAACUUUGAAGUCUCAUCUAAAAAUGGUGGUAUGCUAGAGAGUUACUGGUCCACCUCAUGGGUCUGGGUGGAUAGUCUGCCUUUGUAAAGUUGCUCUCCAUGUAACUUAUCUUGUAGAUGAAGACUUUCUUUCAAAAUCCUCUGGGAGUUUCUUGAGGAAUGUUCUGUCUGAGUUUCAGGUUGGGAAGCUGUGGGGGAGAUCUCUUAGCUUCGGGAGGCAGUGAAUAAAGCAGGCCUUUCUGGAAGUCUCUUGUGGAUUAAAGACAUUGUCUUCUAUAGACUUUAUUCCUGCCCAUUGAUGCAGUCCAGUAACUUCAUAUAUUUUUCCUCCCCCAGGAUAUUUUUGUAGACUUCUCACAAGUUGAUGGGCAGUAUUUUGUCUGCAAUAUGGAUGAUUUUAAGUUUUCUGCAGAGUUAAUCCAGCAUAUCCCAUUAAGUCUCCGAGUGAGAUACGUGUUCUGCACAGCCCCUAUCAAUAAGAAGCAGCCCUUUGUGUGCUCCUCAUUGUUACAGGUGAGCCUUCAUGUCUGCUAUUUUGGCUUGUUUAAGAUGGACACCUUUUUUUCCAAAUAAUUGUUUGUUAUUUGAAAUUAAACAUUUGGGAGAGUACCAUAUAAAUAUAAGAGACUUUCUAAAAACUUAAAUAUUCUUGACUCUUUUUCUCACAGAUAAUUUUUUUUCCCCAGUAUUGGGGAUUGAACCCAGGGGGUGCUCUACUGCAAAGCUACAUCCUUAGCUCUUUUUAUUUAUUUACUUCAUAUUUUGAGACAAGUUCUCACUAAGUUGCCCAGGCUGACCUCAAGCUUGUCGUCCUCCUGCCUCAGCCUUCCAAAAUGCUGAGAUUACAGGUGGGCACCACUAUGCCUGGCUUUACAGAUAAUUUUUGAGGGAGGUAGAACCCUUGUCUUACAUUUGGGCUCAUAUUGUAGCCACUGUGAAGAAGCUAAAACAAAGACUGGGGUUGUAUCUCAGUGGCAGAGCGCUUGCCUUGCAUGCAUGAGGCAUUGGGUUCCAUCCUUAGCACCACACAUAAAAAUAAACAAAAUAAAGAUGUUGUGUCCAUCUACAAUUUAAAAAAAAAAUUUAAAAAGAGUCUAAAAUAAAAAUGAUUUAAAAAUAUAUUUUGAGGGAAGGCACUUUGCCUGAUGGCAAACCUUUUCCUUAUUGUUGUGGGGUAACUAUUUCAAAGGGAGAGGGAUUGCAGUAGUGGCAACAAUAUUCAGUUUUCUUAACUGUAAGGCACUGUGCUGGGUGGUUGUCUUGUGUGAGUAUGGGGCCUAGGUUCCAGCCCCCUUCCUUUUAACCCGUUUGUGUAGGGAUGUGAAUCUGUGACUUCUGAGGAGCACAGGACUUUGUGGGAAAGGGCAGCGAGGGCAGGGGAACCCUACAGAGGCCUCUUCUUCCUCUGAAGACUCAUCGUUGCCAACUCCUCUAGAGGCCUUUGUAUUCUGUGCACUAGCUCUUUUAACCAAAUCUAUUUCUAAAUAUAAAUAUGUGUGUGGGGGGGUUUCUUUUUCUUUUGGUACCAGAGAUUGAACCUAGGGGCACUUAACCACUGAGCCACAUCCCCAGCCCUUUUUAGUAUUUUAUUUAGAAACAGGGUCUACUGAGUUCCUUAGGGCCUCACCAAGUUGCUGAGGCUGGCUUUGAACUCUAGGUCCUCCUGCCUCAAUCUCCCAAGCCACUGGGAUUAUAGGCGUGUGUCACCGUGCCUGGGUGUAAAUUUAUAUUUUAAAUUAUAAAAUGCAUAAUACUUUCUCUUAGUAUAACAUUAAAACAUUGCAGGUCGAUAAAUUUGGCCACCUCCCACUCUCGGUUCUCUGAAAUGAUUGCUUUGAUGUGUUUGUGUGCGUCUCUGCAGACCUUUUCCGUGGCGUCUGCCUGCAUGCAUGUGCACAUAGGAAUUCUAGUUUUGUCCUGUGGAUGUGUUUCCCAUAGAUGUUAUCAUAGCAAGUUAUUCUGCAAAUUGCCUUUUUUCCUUAACAGUAUGUCUUAGAGGUCUUCCAUGUCUGGGUUUACCUAGAAAAUAUUUUUCCUGGAGCUGGCAUUUGGGGGAAAGUUAGUACAAGGUCAGAGGUUAGAGAACGGUCUGAGACUGAGGAAGCUGACCUGAAUGGAGCUGGCAUCAGCCUCAUUUGCACUAUCUCUUAAGCUCUUCUAACAAAGCAGGAGCUCUUUGCUAAGGAGUAAGGAAUCUCUGGAACUGUACAGUCAACAUACACACAUAUGUUUUCUGUUUAAAAACUUCUGAAAUCUAGAAGUUUUCCCUUUGCUCUUUUUUUUUUUUUUUUAAUUUUUUUGUAUUGUAGAUGGACAGAAUGCUUUUAUUUUAUUUGUUAACUUUUAUGUGGUGCUGAGGAUCGAACCCAGUGCCUCACACAUGCUAGGCAAGUGCUUUGCCACUGAGCUACAGCCCCAGCCCUCCCUUUGCUCUUGAUCUCUACCAUCACUGAAGUAUAAAGAGCUCAGUCCCAUAGAUGGCCUCCCAUGCCUCUCAGGACAGUGGUUUUGAAACUGUUCUCCCCAGAGCUCCUUUAGGGCUGGCUGCAAGUGGAAUUAUCUCAGUGGACAGUGAGAUACUAAAACUAGUGCUCUCCCUGCCCUCUCCACUCAGCCCCUGAACUUGGACUUCCACUAGUUUCUGUGGCCAGAGUUCUUAAGGGCACUGCCUUUAUAAAGAGAGCCUGAGAACCCCUGCUUGUUGUGUCCUAACAGGUUAGCAUGGUCACAUUUCCAUUCAUCAUGGCUGUCUGACUUGGCAUUUAUUAAAAUUGGCAGAAUGCACCAGACUAAAUUUAACAAAAUUAGAGUAUUCUUUAGCCAAAGGAAUCUAAAAUGGCUCUGCCUCUCUGAAGUAUUGGCCUUGCUUAGGUUAAGCAUUGAGAGAUAAUUUGCCUUAAUUAGGAAAUGAAUUAUUUGAAAUCAGCUUUGACUUGAAGCCAGAGUUUAAACUCUUUUUUUUUUUUUUUCUUGUACCAAGGAUUGAACCCAGAGUUGCUUAACCACUGAGCCACAUCCCCAGCCCCUUUAAUUUUUUUAUUUUGAGAUAGCGUUUCUUCUGAGUUGCUUAGGGCCUCACUAAGUUACUGAGGCUGGCCUUGAAUUUGUGAUCCUCCUGCCUCAGCCUCCCAAGCUGCUGGAUUUCAGGUGUGCACCACUGCACCAAGCCCCUUUUUAUAACUUUUAAUGCAGACAUUAUUGCCCUAACUUUGGAAAAAGGUGAAAGUCAUCUUUUUUUUUCUUAAAGAAUUUAAUUUUUUUAUUUAAAGAACUAAGGUUUUUUUCUUUCUUUUUUUUUUUUUAAUGUGUGUGUAUGUGUGUAGAUUAAAUGUUUUUAAAAAUGUAAAAAAAGCCAGGGCUGGGGAUAUAGCUCAGUUGGUAGAGUGCUUGCCUUGUGUGCACAAGGCCCUGGGUUCAAUACCCAAUACCACCAAAAAAAGUAAAAAAAUAUCAAGGAGCAAAGAAACAAGCCUGUCUAUUGAAACACAACCACAGGUAAUAUUUGUGCUUUUUUCUAAUUAUAGACUUAAGGGAAUUCUAAUUCUUUUACCAAACUAUUCCUCAGUUUGCCAGGCAGUAUAGCAGGAAUGAGCCUUUGACCUUUGCAUGGUUACGCCGAUACAUCAAAUGGCCUCUACAACCACCUAAGAACAUUAAAGACCUCAUGGAUCUUGAAGCUGUCCAUGACGUCUUGGAUCUUUACCUGUGGCUAAGGUACCAAUUUUCUCCUUUAUGUGUUCUUGUUUCUAAGUAAUAGGGCAAAUCAAAGGUUUUAUGAAUGGUGGGAGGUUUUUUGUUUGUUUUUUGUUUCAAACUCAGCACAUAUUUGCAAGAAGCUCUAUAUUAUGUUUGUUGUCAAUAAAAGCACUUGAGCCUGGCUUAUAUUUCUUCCAAAAAAGUCUUCAGGAGUUUUGUGGUUAUCAUUGAGACAGCCAAGUGAGAAGAUCCACUAGACCCUUUCUACUCAAAGAGUGGUCCUUGGAUCACAAGUGUUGGUAUCACCUGGGAGCUUUAGAAAUAAAGAAUCUCAGGGCCAUCCCAGACUUAAUCAGAUUCUGCAGUUUAACAGUAUCUUCAGUUGGUUCACUUGUAGAUUUUUGACAUUUGAGAAUCCGUGCUCUAGAGGGCUCGGCUUCUCAAAGGAGGGGUAUAUAUCCCUAGGGGAGCAUAUAAAGAUUACUUGAGAUAGCAUACCAACCCACUUUCAUCAUGACAUAUUCCUCAGGUAUGUUGGAGAAGAAGUAGAAGUUGAAUAAAGAUACUGGACAGUUUGCAAAAAGAAAACAUUUGGAAUUAACGUAGGUGUGCCACUGAGAUUAGUCCAGAGCUGUUGCUAUAAUAUAUCGUGUCCUUUUCACAGCUACCGAUUCAUGGACAUGUUUCCAGAUACCAGCCUUGUGCGAGACCUGCAGAAGGAGCUGGAUGGUGUUAUCCAGGACGGUGUUCACAACAUCACCAAACUGAUUAAAAUUUCCGAGACACGUAAGCUGUUGCAUCUGGAAAGCUCAUUAGCAGGGAGCCAGUCACGUUUGUCAGGAACCUUGAAGAGCCAAGCUAGAAGGGCACGUGGCACCAAAACUGCAGGGAGUAAAGCUGCUGAGCCGCUUGGCGCCAGCGCUGGGGAGCUAUCCCUCGCUUCCAGACUGGUGCAGCAAGGACUCCUCACUCCAGACAUGUUGAAGCAGCUUGAAAAGGAGUGGAUGACACAACAGACUGAACAUGGCCAAGAGAGAACAGAGUCUGGGACUUACUCAAAAGGGACAAGAAGAAAGAAGAAGGAACACAAUUCUGAUUAGUUUUUGUUUUUUUAAUUUUGCAAAUAAAAAUCUAUUUUAAGUCCAGUUUGUUUGAAUGAGCAUUUGCUGCUUGCUG